AAAAAAUAAAAUUUUCAAAAAAAAUAAAAAAAAUAUUUUGCAUUUUUAAAAAAUAGUGUAAUAUAUUGUAAGAGCAACGAUAGCAAAGGGGAUCACCUGAUACCAUUCCGAACUCAGAAGUUAAGCCCUUUAACGCCGAAAAUACUAGAGAUAGGAAGAUAGGAAGUUGCUUUUUUUAUUGUCUUUUUUCUGAUUUUUGAGUAAUAUAUAA
rnacentral:rRNA from 1 species